GCACUGAUGGUGGCGCGUUCAUCUCCCGCUUGGGGGCGAACCACGUUGUCGAUGCGCUCCUCUUGGCGGUGGGUGCUCUCCGACGGCGUCGAUCCAAGAAGACCACGCAAACCCAUUCUUGAAGAGGAGGCUCCAAUGCUCUCGCGUCCCUCGGGUUUUACUGGAAACAGGAAUAUGAUGCAUGCCGAUGAAUCAAAGCAUCGAGAUUUAAAUUAGGUUCAUUUAUUCCUUUUAUUUGUAAAUUUAAUGGUUAUUUCAUGGUAUGAGCAUUUCUGCUUAAAUCAGUUUCUUCAUGCUUACGUUUGAUCAAUUUUUCAUCCUCAUCAUGUUUAUUUUAGUUGGAUUUGAAUGAUGCUCAACCUCAUGGACGUCCCAUAUAAGUUUUGGUACUAUAAGUGAUUCCGAUAGACUUCUUCAUAACAGUUAUGUGCCCCAGAAUUAGAACCUGCAUCAUUAGUUAUUCUCAAGCAUGGGUUACAUCGUCUACUUUUUAGGACUGUAAGUUCUGUUUCUUUAGCCGCUGAUAGGAUGAGGUUCCAGCAACUACAAGAGACUUCAAAGCACUCCACUUGUUUGAGCAGACUCUUCAAUAGACCGUAAUGUUUGUGAUAACAUGGCAUUUACCGACCAAAAGUGGCCAAAUCAUUCUGAUGGUCAGUGGAUGAGUCGUGAAUGCCUGGUAGGCUUCUUGUGUGAUGAUAUAAAGCAGUCCAUGUACAUUGCAGAAGGGAGAGAUUCCAAGCCUGUUUUUGACACUUGGAUAGUCUUUAAUUUGAUAGCAUCACUUGCCAGUCCAUAGAUAUUGUUUGUUUUGUAGAUUAACUAGGGUGCUCUCCUAAAGAAGCCUUAAACUAUAGCAAUCUUCUCUCUAAGUCAACAAUUGCUGCUUUCAGUUCACUCGGUGCUCUUUUUGUUAUCAGAUAAAGCGAGUCCAACAUCUUUGUAUAAUAUCAGACCUCCGUUGAUGGCAUUGUAUCUAAUCCAACACACUGCUCGAGUGGGUAUGCUUUUGCAUGGGAAAGCAGUUAUCCUCUUGAUUCUUUAUAGAUGAGGAACAAAAAAAUAAGCAACAAAGGUUUCCAAGGAGGUGGUGGACCUUUACAUGAGCUAAAGCAGGGAGGGAUGCUCACGUUUCCUCAAACAACAGGACUGCCGAGAGACCCGACUGUUUUUUUAAGGCACCAUCCUUGCUUUGCUGAUGAUGCCAAACAGUAUCGACAUGUAGUAUUGAUCUCAGCAAGGAAAAGAUCCACCUAGCUGCAGGAAGGUCAGAUUUAAACUUUGUGCAUGUUGCAGUCAAGGCAUCAGUUCAUUGCUUCCUACUCACUUUUGAGAGAAGCAAAGGAGAAGAAAUGUC